rnacentral:tRNA from 1 species
GGGGGUAUGUAACCGAUGGGCUCGGGAGAGCGCUUGAAUGGCAUUCAAGAGGUCAGCGGUUCGAUCCCGCUUAUCUCCACCA